AUGAACGCUGGCGGUAUGCUUAACACAUGCAAGUCGAACGGACUCUUCGGAGUUAGUGGCAGACGGGUGAGUAACGCGUGAGAAUCUGGCUUUGGGUUCGGGACAACCACUGGAAACGGUGGCUAAUACCGGAUGUGCCGAGAGGUAAAAGAGAAAUUGCCUGAAGAUGAGCUCGCGUCUGAUUAGCUAGUUGGUGAGGUAAAGGCUCACCAAGGCAGCGAUCAGUAGCUGGUCUGAGAGGAUGACCAGCCACACUGGGACUGAGACACGGCCCAGACUCCUACGGGAGGCAGCAGUGGGGAAUUUUCCGCAAUGGGCGAAAGCCUGACGGAGCAAUACCGCGUGAGGGAAGAAGGCUCUUGGGUUGUAAACCUCUUUUCUUAGGGAAGAACAAAAUGACGGUACCUAAGGAAUCAGCAUCGGCUAACUCCGUG
rnacentral:rRNA from 1 species